rnacentral:rRNA from 1 species
UACGGAAGGUCCGGGCGUUAUCCGGAUUUAUUGGGUUUAAAGGGAGCGUAGGCCGGAGAUUAAGUGUGUUGUGAAAUGUAGACGCUCAACGUCUGACUUGCAGCGCAUACUGGUUUCCUUGAGUACGCACAACGUUGGCGGAAUUCGUCGUGUAGCGGUGAAAUGCUUAGAUAUGACGAAGAACUCCGAUUGCGAAGGCAGCUGACGGGAGCGCAACUGACGCUUAAGCUCGAAGGUGCGGGUAUCGAACAGG